AUUGAACGCUGGCGGCAUGCUUUACACAUGCAAGUCGAACGGCAGCGGAGAGUGCUUGCACUCUGCCGGCGAGUGGCGAACGGGUGAGUAAGAUAUUGGAACGUACCGAGUAAUGGGGGAUAACUAUCCGAAAGGAUAGCUAAUACCGCAUACGCUUUGAGAAGGAAAGUGGGGGCUCUUCGGACCUCACGUUAUUCGAGCGGCCAAUAACUGAUUAGCUAGUUGGAGGGGUAAAGGCCCACCAAGGCGACGAUCAGUAGCGGGUCUGAGAGGAUGAUCCGCCACACUGGGACUGAGACACGGCCCAGACUCCUACGGGAGGCAGCAGUGGGGAAUUUUGGACAAUGGGCGCAAGCCUGAUCCAGCCAUGCCGCGUGUCUGAAGAAGGCCUUCGGGUUGUAAAGGACUUUUGUUAGGGAAGAAAAGGAGUAUGUUAAU
rnacentral:rRNA from 1 species